AGGGGGAAGAGACAGAGGCAGAGCAACAAUACUCAGGAAAGAAGUGGACAGAUGGCCGUAGCAGUGAUCAUCAUCACUUGUGCGGUUCUAUCAAUCUACCUAUGCAUUUCUACACCACCUCUCACCAGAGUGCUUGCCUCCUGUUCUCCCUAAGCAAUGAGGUUAAUAUUGAAGAACCGGGUACAUCCAUGGUGCUUGCAGCAUCCAGGCGGAGAGAACAGAACCCAUCUACGAAGCAUCAGCUUCCACAUCCUAACCACAUCCCUGUCCUUUAUUUCUUUCCCACAAUGUAAGGGCAAUAAAGAUUAACCUAUCUACUUAAGUUUUGUAAUUACAGUU
rnacentral:lncRNA from 1 species